rnacentral:rRNA from 1 species
UACAGAGGGUGCGAGCGUUAAUCGGAAUUACUGGGCGUAAAGCGUGCGUAGACGGUUACGUAAGUCGGAUGUGAAAUCCCCGGGCUCAACCUGGGAAUUGCAUUCGAGACUGUGUAGCUGGGGUGCGGAAGAGGGAAGCGGAAUUUCCGGUGUAGCGGUGAAAUGCGUAGAUAUCGGAAGGAACAUCAGUGGCGAAAGCGGCUUCCUGGUCCAGCACCGACGUUCAGGCACGAAAGCGUGGGGAGCGAACAGG